rnacentral:SRP_RNA from 2 species
GCCGGGCAUGGUGGCACAUGCCUGUAAUCCCAGCUACUAGGGAGGCUGAGGCAGGAGGAUCACUUGAACCUGGGAGGUGGAGGUUGCAGUGAGCCGAGAUCGCGCCGCAGCACUCCAGCCUGGGUGACAGAGCGAGACUUUUUUUUUUUUUUUUUUGAGACAGAGUCUCGCUCUGUCACCCAGGCUGGGGUGCCAUGGUGCGAUCUCUGCUCACUGCAAGCUCCACCUCCCAGGUUCACGCUAUUCUCCUGCCUCAG